rnacentral:misc_RNA from 1 species
CUGAACGCCUCUAAGUCAGAAUCCAUGCCAGAACGCGGUGAUACCACCCGCACGUAUAGAUGGACAAGAAUAGGCUUCGGCUUAGCGUCUUAGCAGGCGAUUCUUCCACGGCGCUCGAAGCGCGUCGUGGUAUUUCGCGUAUUGUAAUUUCAACACGAGCGGGGUCAAAUCCUUUGCAGACGACUUAGCUGUGCGAAACGGUCCUGUAAGCAGUAGAGUAGCCUUGUUGUUACGAUCUGCUGAGGGUAAGCCGUCCUUCGCCUCGAUUUCCCCAAUGGGUUCUCCGGAUUUCUGGAGACUUGUAGGGGUUGUGGGUUUUUUCGAUGUGUCGUCUCCGGACGGGCGGUGCAGGGUAGUCGAGUUAGACUUGGUGGAAUUCGAUUCCGUCGAGUAUGGCUGGCACGAUCGUGUGCGGUUGUGUGUUGGACGGUGCAGGGUAGGCUGCUUGGACAUGGUCGGUUCGAGGAUCGAUUCGAGGGCCGGCCUGUCGAUGAUGUGUGAUGUAUGCGGUCUAGGGUAGGCUGGUUUGUCUUGGUCCAAUUUGAUGUCGGCUCCCGUGCAGGCUAGAGUGAGGGGGGUCCAGGGUAGGUACAGGGUAGGCAGCUUAGAUUUGGUCGAUCUGGAGGUCGAUUCUCCGGCUGGUGGAUCUGACCCUGUCGAAACGAGAUGCGAGCGGUGUAGGGUAGGCUAGUUUCGUCCUCGCCAGGUUGCGAUUUGGACGAGAUAUGUGGUCUAGGGUAGGCUCUAGGGUAAGUAGAAUUCGAGUUUCGUCGCCGACAGUUUUCUGUGGGUGUAUGGUAGGUACAGGGUAGGCAAAACUCUCUCCGGCCAGUACUUGUCUGGUGGUCGUGAGUCGAUUUUUUUGUUUUGCCAUACUAUUGAAUUUUGCGGAAAUUCAAAAGUGGCUCGGGAGUCCCGCCUGGCGUGCGUCCGACUCGAACAUCGUCGGUGUACAUAUGAGAGGGAGUAAUCCGGCCCGGCCGGGGCCCAUCGCGAGCUGCCGGGUAGGUAAAAGUAAAAAAGUUGUUAAGAGGCGCGGUGUCGGCGUGCUUGUAUUUGCGGGAGAGAAUUAUCUGGAGGUGCUGGGUAGCCGGGAAGACUUGGACGGAUCUGGCCCGGGAAUGGGUCUGGGCCUGGAUUCUGGUGUGGUGUAGGAUAGGCGUAGAUAGAUGAGUGGUCUAGGGUAGAUACAGGGUAGCCAGAAGUCUGGUAUAUAGUGUGGGGGGUGUAGGGUAGGUCUGGACACCGUUUUCCACUUCGCCCUUCCCUUUACUCGAGGGAGGACGAUCUUGGCUGGGAUGGAGGUGUAGGGUAGGCUUAAUUUACGAUUACAUGAUCUGUGUCACUCUAGGGUAGGUGAAAAUCCCAUAUAUAUCUGAUCACAUUUGGAGAAGAGGUGGUUUGGCUGGUGAGAUGGACAAAAGUGCAAUGUAGAAUUAUAUGUGAUUUUGCAAAAGUGGGUGUGAAAUUGGGAAAUCGGUUUCCCCGCACAGAUGAGAGCACGUUUGAGGUGCCAUGAGAUGCACCUCUCCGAGACGACCUCAACGGUACCACCGAUGUGUUGGUCCGGCUCCUGUGCGGCCGUCCAGGGCGGGAUAUGUAGAGAAUGUGGUGGUGUAGGGUAGGUGGCCAGGUCCAGGGUAGGUUCUCCAAAUCCGUCAAUCCAGCUUGAAUCGAAGGACAGGUCUAGGGUAGGCCAGAGUCGGGUCUAGGGUAGGCAGCUCUCACCCUCGAAGUGGUCUACCCGGUAGUCAACUUCAAUCGCCUCUCACGGCCGCCACGGACCUCGCAUGACGACGGGACCACCACCAUCGGAUUUGCCUUGGUCGAAAUAGUCGGUAUAUGCACUUUUGCAAAAAUGCGUGCAAAAUGGUUUUGUGGUUUGGUGGUCGUGAGUCGAUUUUUUUGUUUUCCCAUACAAAUGAAUUUUGCGGAAAAUAAAAAGUGGCCCACGAAGCAGUUCUGGCGUGCGGCCCACUAAAACGGUCUCGGAGGGUAUAUGAGAAGGGAGCAAAUCCGGCCGAGCCUGAAAGGGUGAGGACAAACCGGGCGAGCAACCUCUCAGUAUCAGAUCUUGCAGACUUCCACUGCGUGUCCCUCUGUACAGCUUUGCAGGCUCCGGCCUCGGCAGCGGGGGGUUCAUAGUGGUCGUCGACCUCCACGAAACUGCACGCUCCGGCGUGACAGCGUACUGGGGAUGCCUGUGUAGAUGCAGUCCGGGCUUGCCUGGACCGCUAGCAGAUGGGCUCUGUGGAUGACUGGCCGCUGGCUAGACCUGAAACCUGAGCAACGGGAGGUAACCUCUCGCCGCGGACACCGGAAUGGUAGAAGCGGCGUGCUGCGUCCUCCUCUUGGGGCCCCUAAGCCACACCUCCCAUAGCGGGUUCGGUGCGGCGGACGGACGCCCUGGGGAAUUUAGAGGGGGAAAGCGGAUUGCCCUAGCGGUGUUGUUGGCCCUGCCGACCUCACUGCGAAAGGCGCGACUUCACCGUCGCCACCCAGUAACUUGUCUCUCCGGCGCUUCACGGCGCUGGUGGCCAACCCCGGCACACGAUAGUUACCUGGUUGAUUCUGCCAGUAGUCAUAUGCUUGUCUC